rnacentral:rRNA from 1 species
AGGACGAACGCUGGCGGCGUGCUUAACACAUGCAAGUCGAGCGGAAAGGCCCUUCGGGGUACUCGAGCGGCGAACGGGUGAGUAACACGUGAGCAACCUGCCCCUGGCUCUGGGAUAGCCUUCGGAAACGGGGAUUAAUACCGGAUAUUCACUGCUUCCUGCAUGGGGGGUGGUGGAAAGUUUUUCGGCUGGGGUGGGCUCGCGGCCUAUCAGCUUGUUGGGGGGUGACGGCCCACCAAGGCGACGACGGGUAGCCGGCCUGAGAGGGCGACCGGCCACGACUGGGACUGGAGACACGGCCCAAACUCCUACGGGAGGCAGCAGUGGGGAAUAUGGACAAUGGGCGCAAGCCUGAUCCAGCCAUGCCGCGUGAGUGAUGACGGCCUUAGGGUUGUAAAGCUCUUUCGCUCGGGACGAUAAUGACGGUACCGAGAUAAGAACGCCCCGGCUAACUUCGUGCCAGCAGCCGC